rnacentral:rRNA from 1 species
GACGAACGCUGGCGGCGUGCUUAACACAUGCAAGUCGAACGAUGAAGCCGGAGCUUGCUCUGGUGAAUUAGUGGCGAACGGGUGAGUAACACGUGAGUAACCUGCCCUUGACUCUGGGAUAACUGCGGGAAACUGUAGCUAAUACCGGAUACGACCCUCGGAGGCAUCUCCUGGGGGUGGAAAGAAUUUCGGUCAAGGAUGGACUCGCGGCCUAUCAGCUAGUUGGUGAGGUAAAGGCUCACCAAGGCGACGACGGGUAGCCGGCCUGAGAGGGUGACCGGCCACACUGGGACUGAGACACGGCCCAGACUCCUACGGGAGGCAGCAGUGGGGAAUAUUGCACAAUGGGCGCAAGCCUGAUGCAGCAACGCCGCGUGAGGGAUGACGGCCUUCGGGUUGUAAACCUCUCUUAGCGGGGAAGAAGCGAAAGUGACGGUACCUGCAGAAAAAGCACCGGCUAACUACGUGCCAGCCGCCGCGGUAA